rnacentral:rRNA from 1 species
CCUACGGGUGGCUGCAGUGGGGAAUAUUGCACAAUGGGGGGAACCCUGAUGCAGCGACGCCGCGUGUGUGAAGAAGUAUUUCGGUAUGUAAAGCACUAUCAGCGGGGAAGAAAAUGACGGUACCUGACACAGAAGCCACGGCUAACUACGGGCCAGCAACCGCGGGAAUACGUAGGGCGCAAGCGUUAGCCGGAUUUACUGGGUGAAAAGGGAGCGCAGACGGCUGUGCAAGUAUGGAGUGAAAGGCGGGGGCCCAACCCCCGGACUGCUCUGGAGACUGUAAAGCUGGAGUGUAGGAGAGGUAAGUGGAAUUCCUGGUGUAGCGGUGAAAUGCGUAGAGAUUAGGAGGAACACCAGUGGCGAAGGCGACUUACUGGACGGCAACUGACGUUGAGGUGCGAAAGCGUGGGGAGCAAACAGGAUUAGAUACCCUAGUAGUC